rnacentral:lncRNA from 1 species
CAGCCAACAGCGUUCCUUUGUCCCCACAGCAACAGGGUCCUGCACUCCUGUUUCCAGGGAAACCCAGCUCUCAGCGUCCCGGUUGCCACAGCAAUGCCUACGGGCUCAGCUGGCCAUACUGUCUUACCCACAGGGCAAGAGCAACUGGGUGCCCAGGCUCGGGACACAAGACUGCAGAGCCAGGUGCCACACAGGUGUGGGGCCCGUGGACCAAGGAAGACCCUGGCCAGUUGGAGGAGAACUGCCAGGUAGCAAAGCCCAGACUUCUCUGGGGUCCUGCGCUCUGGGCUGCAAUGAGCUCUGCCUCCAGUGAGCCUGGCAAUGGGGACGCCUCCCAACAGCCCCUACUGGGGCUGGACACCGUGAUCCAGCUGCUCUCCCCUCCUUUGGAAGCCCCCCAGCAACCUCUGCACAGCACCCCAGAAUGCCCCCACCCUGGAGCUGGAAUUGGAUGUAAAGGGGCAGGCUUGGAAACUCUCAACCUCUGUCCCUGGGGUGAGCAAGUCGGACUUGGGGAGUGCAAAGCCCCCUGAAAUUGCCCGUGAAGUGGGGGGUAUCUGUGACUGCCUUGAGGGGUGGGGGUGUGCCCUUCCUCGGAAUCUCCAGCACCCAGACCCGCAGCUGAUGGAGAAGCAUGGCGCAGAGUCCCGGACGAGGAACCCAGCACAGAAAGCCCAGUCCCCUCAGAGCUGGGGGCUCCUCAGACUCCCGUUCCUUGGCUUGAAUUUUGAUUUGUGCUAUUUUUCUAGGAAAUUGUCCAUUACAUCCAAAUUUUCAAGUUGUUGAAAUUGGCAAAAGUUGUUCACAAUAUCUUCUUCCUGUCUUUUGGAUGUCUGCAGGAUCCGUGGGGUAACCAGCUGUCCCUCUUUGCUGAGGGGCUCGAGACAGGGGUUUCCCAGGACUCCAGACAGCCUUGGGUCUGGAACCCCAGUCCUGGGCACAGUGGGGAGGAAGUGGUUGCCCCGAAGUGGCAUCCCCUUUCUCGUUUCUGAUACUAGCCGCGUACCGGCUCAUAGUAUUCUUAUCUUGUGUUUCAUUAACCUACAUAUGCAUUCUUCCUUUAACCUGCAUAUGCAUUCUUCCUUCGCUUUCAGUUUCUCUGGGUUUGUUCUUCAUCUCACUUCUGGAAAUAUGUGCUUGACUCAUUGAUUGUUCAGCCUUUUUAAAAAUUUCUUUUUUUCUGGCCGGGUGCAGUGACUCACACCUGUAAUCCCAGCACUUUGGGAGGCUAAGGCGGGCGGAUCGCUUGAGGUCAGGAGUUUGAGACCAGCCUGGCCAACAUGGUGAAACCCCGUCUCUACUGAAAAUACAAAAAUUAGCCAGGCAUGAUGGCAGGCGCCUGUAAUCCCAGCUACUCAGGAGGCUGAGGCAGGAGAAUCGCUUGAACCCAGGAGGUGGAGGUAACAGUGAGCCAAGAUCGCACCACUGUACUCCAGCCUGGGAGACAGAGCGAGACCCUGUCUCAAAAAAAAUAAAAUAAAUUUUUAAAAAAA